rnacentral:precursor_RNA from 1 species
AGAUAACCUAAUAAUGUGAGAAUUUCUUAUCAGAGAAACCUGGAAUUUAAAAAAAUGGGCAAUCCUGAGCCAACUCCUGCUUUCCAAACUUUCCAAAAGGGAGAAGAAAUAAAGGAUAGGUGCAGAGACUCAAUGGAAGCUGUUCUAACAAAUGGAGUUGACUGUCUUGCGUUGUUAUAAGAAUUCUUCCACCGAAACUCAAAAAAGGAUGAAGAAUAAACCUAUAUGCAUACGUACUUUCGUACUUUAAUUUAAAUUACUAGAAAUAGAAAAUAAAAACGAAUAAUGAAUUCUGUAUUUUUUUAAUAUGCACAAAAAGAUGAAAAAUAGAAGAAUUGUCGUGAAGUUAUUCCAAGUUUAAGAAAGAAUCGAAUAUUCGUUUAUUUUCUAUUAAAAAGAUUAAAACAUUUACUCCACAGUCUGAUAGAUCUUUUGAAGAACUGAUCAAUCGGAUGAGAAUGAAGAUAGAGUCCCAUUCUACGUGUCAAUAUCGACAACAAUGCAAUUUAGAGUAAGAGG